rnacentral:rRNA from 1 species
UUCGGGUGAAUGGAAAAACAUUAUAUUAAUAUAAUGUAAUUUUUUUGAGCUAUAUGCCGACUAUCAGAAGUAGAGCCUUUGUUCUAUGGAUAGGAAAGUUUACGCUUUUUUUGACAGCUUCGGUUUUUAGCGGUUUAUCCGCAUAAAAUUCUAUAUAGAAUACGGAUAAUGACCAUUUUCUAUAUAAAUGUCUUGACCAAAACACGUGCCAGCAGUCGCGGUAACACGGGACAGACUAGUGUUAUUCAUCUCUAAUAGGUUUAAAGGGUACCUAGACAGCAAUAUUACCCCCAUAAAUUAGGGUGGCUCAGAAAUGGGGCCAUAUCUUAUUGCUAGAGUUUUUUAUGGGAGGAUUUUAGUACUAUCGGAGUAAGAGAUGAAAUACGUUGAUACUGUAGGGAACUGAUAUUCGGCGAAGGCAAACCUCUAUGAAAAUACUGACGUUGAGGGACGAAGGCUUGGGUAACAAACAGGAUUAGACACCCUAAUAGUCCAGGCAGAGACUGAUGAGUGUCAUAGGUUAAAAUAUUUUAGCUUAUAAAUGAAAGUGUAAGCACUCCACCUUAAGAGUAAUACGGCAACGUAGGAACUGAAAUCAUUAGACCGUUUCUGAUCGAGUAGUGAAGUAUGUUGUUUAAUACGAUAACCCCCGAAAAUCUUACCACAAUUUGAAUAUUAUAACACCUUAGGUAAGAUUUUUAAUAAUAAAAAAAAAUUGAAAGUGUUAUAAUACAGGUGUUGCAUGGCUGUUUUAGUUGAUGUCGUGAGGCGCAGGUUAGAUUCAAUCAAUCAACGUAUAACCCUUAUUUUAUUUUGUAUAGAGUAGUCCGACCUUACAUUUGAUGUUUGGGAAGAGAACUGGGUCCAAGACAAGUCCUCAUGG